GCCAGGCAUGGUGGUACGUGCCUGUAGUCCCAGCUACUCAGGAAGCUGAGGUGGGAGGAGCACUUUAGUCUAGGAGUUUUGGGCUGUAGUGCGCAAUACUGAUGGGGUGUCUGCACUAAGUUCCACAUCAAUAUGGUGACCUCCCAGGAGUGGGGAACCACCAGGUUGCCUAAGGAGGGGUGAACCGGCCCAGGUCGGAAAUGGAGCAGGUCAAAACUCCCAUGCUGAUCAGUAGUGGGAUCCUGCCUGUGAAUAGCCACUGCACUCCAGCCUGGGCAACAUAGCAAGACCCUGUCUCU
rnacentral:SRP_RNA from 1 species